rnacentral:rRNA from 1 species
UCAAAUUUAAAAGAUGGCUUCGGCUAUCACUUUGGGAUGGACCUGCGGCGCAUUAGCUUGUUGGUAGGGUAACGGCCUACCAAGGCUGUGAUGCGUAGCCGAGUUGAGAGACUGAUCGGCCACAAUGGAACUGAGACACGGUCCAUACUCCUACGGGAGGCAGCAGUAGGGAAUCUUCCACAAUGGGCGCAAGCCUGAUGGAGCAACACCGCGUGAGUGAAGAAGGGUUUCGGCUCGUAAAGCUCUGUUGUUAGAGAAGAACGUGCGUGAGAGCAACUGUUCACGCAGUGACGGUAUCUAACCAGAAAGUCACGGCUAACUACGUGCCAGCAGCCGCGGUAAUACGUAGGUGGCAAGCGUUAUCCGGAUUUAUUGGGCGUAAAGCGAGCG